UACGAAUGGGGCGAGCGUUGUUCGGAAUCACUGGGCUUAAAGCGUACGUAGGCGGCUGUGAAAGUCAGGAGUGAAAUCCCGGGGCUUAACCCCGGAAUUGCUUUUGAAACUCCACAGCUAGAGGCCCGGAGAGGUUGGCGGAAUUCCGAGUGUAGAGGUGAAAUUCGCAGAUAUUCGGAGGAACACCAGUGGCGUAGGCGGCCAACUGGACGGGUACUGACGCUGAUGUACGAAAGCGUGGGGAGCAAACAGG
rnacentral:rRNA from 1 species